UUUGCGGGAGAAGAUGGAAAAAUGACCGGUCACGAUUUAACUGAUGUCUAUAUAUUAAGAAUAAAGAACAAGUAGUGCGCUCACGAGAAGAUAAAAAAAAGCACUCUCUCUCCUAUCUACCCGUGAAGACAAAAUUCCUUCUCUUAUUUCACCAGCGCGUGGUGGUACGUCCGCCGGCGCCGGACCUCCGACUCCCUCUCUUCUCUUAGCCUCCUGCUCUCCUCUCUCUCUCUUGUCAAUAUGCUUGCUGUCCUGGUGUUGUUCGUCGCCGUUGCCGCUUAGAUCUGCUCACGAAGUCCCUGGGUUUGACGGGGUGGCCGUUUUGUUCUUGGUGGCGUUGCAUUAUUUUCCAUGGCCAUGUAACGACCGUGACACAAGGUGAGCUUCCGGCGAGAUUUAUGGGUGAGUUUCCGGUGGGAUUUCUGGACGAGUUUCCGGCGGAUUUUUCUAGUGAGACUGACGAGCAGGAGUGAUUGCUAUCGGAUUUGUGCUUUGGGAGUUUUAUUUCUUUCUUUUUCAGACUUGAGGUUUUAUGAUUUUAUCGAUACUUCAUGAAUUAUCUCUUUUAUUACAUUUAUGGUUAUUUAUUGGAUUUAUAACUUUCGAAUUGACUUUUGAGAAGUAAUAAAUGGAGAUUUCAGACUUUUUAUUUAUUUAAGUUAUUUCGGAAAAUACGGGUGUUACAGGCCAUCCCAGUGUCAAUGGCCCUGUGUUGGGACUUUUAUUGGCAGGCUGUGAUUUUUGGCUUCCUUGUGUAGGUCUCAUCUUUCUGAUCUUUGACGCAGCUUCUUCCCUGUCCGUCUUAUUAUUUUGUUCUAUGAGUUGCUUUUCUUUCUCGCUAAUGUCGGUUUGUUGAAGUGUUGUGUAUGCAUGAUGGUCUCGUCUCCAUUGUUGCGAACUGUGCAGGUUUUCUUGGUUGUGGUCUUGCUUUCUGUGUUGUUUAGCUGUGGGAGGAUGUAGUAAGGCUUCGGUGUGUGGAGAUGCGGCUUUCCUCUCCUGUGAGCUCCUGCUAUUAAGCUUCUUUGUUUCUGGCUCGGAGUGGAGAUGCGACUCCUCUAGUGUGUGAGUUCCUUCUAUUAAGCUUGGGUCGAGUGUAGAUGCGACUCCUUGUGUGUGAGCUCCUGCUAUUAAGCUCGAGUCGAGUGGAGAUGCGACUCCUCGCUGGGAUUCCUGUUAUUAAGCUCCUGUGGUCGGUACUUUGGAGUGGAGAUGCGGCUUUCUUUGUGAGUGAGCUCCUGCUAUUAAGCCCCGUGAGUUUGUGUUGUCUUGACGUUAGUACCUUCUUGGUUCUUUUUUAUUGCUGCCAGAUGAACCAACUUCCUAUAUGAUUGCAAUCGGUUUGCACUCGUACCAAGCUUCUCGUUAGUGUUAGCCUUGGCUAGAGUCUCUACUCAAGGUUUACAAUCCCUAUCGCUAUAUCUCAAGGUGGAUGCUUACAAGCUGAAGUUUUCGGUUCUACCGAUGAUAGUUUUCUUCCAUGUUUUUAGCUUUUUUUUUUUGCCGUGGAACCAAUUUUUAGGUUUUACAAUUUGUCAAUACUUAUUGUAGUUUAUUUUGUUCAUUUCUGGAAAUGAUAUUUACAUAUUUAGCAAAAAAAAUAAAAAAAAAAUAAAGAACUGGUCAUGAUUUAAAUAUUAUAUUUUUCUAUAAACUGUUCUUGUGACCAAUAGAAUUUAAUGGUUUUCUGCAAAACUAACAUCACGUCAUAUGUAUGUUGUUAAUGUUUCGGUAAAUCUCUGUUUAUAAUCUAUGUAAAAGGAACAUGUCGCUUUACUUGAUUUGAAUUAUCAAGUUAGAUGUAUAUUUUAAAACUCAAUGGCCAAAAGCCAAAAAUUAUUUUAAAGCUCGUAUGUUGUAUAGCAAGUUUUAUAUUUUAAAAGAGAUAAUGACAAUAGAUGAAUAUAAUAACAAUGACAGGUUUUGUAAUUAGGCUAGUAAAGAGAGGGAAAAUAUAGAUAGGCUAAGAAUCACCGUGGGCUUGUCACUUCAACAAGACAUGAGUCAUGAGUGCACUGGCAGAACCAGAAUUUUCUUUAAAGUUUCUACUGGAAUCAAAUUUUUACAAUGGAUCAAAUUUUCAUUUUAAAUUGGAUCAAUAAAAAUUUAUUAAGUAAAAAAAUAUAUUUUUAACAAAAUAGUGGGGUCAGCUGAUUCCACCGCUCAUAUUCUGCAUGAGUGUAAAUAACUUACAAAAUUUUCUUUUUAUUAUCUGAGAUGCAUUAUUAACAUUAAACAUUGUUUUCAUGUGUGUGAUUAACCAAAUUGUCAUUGUUUAGGUGUCAUCACUAGAAUUCACCUCAUUUACUGAAUAGCUGUCUCUUGCCUAAACUAAUUACAUGUAAUGAUAUUGCCAAAUAAUACUAGAAAAUGAUUUAAUAUAUGUUUCAUUUUAUGCAUUUUUCUUCAUUUCCCUGCAAACUCGAACUAACGAGGGUGUGUUGACAGUUUUAUAUAUGGCAUAUUCGAAUUGUAUUUCGAUUUCGGUCAUUAACUAAUUCAAAAUAUCCAUUUUUCGGUUCUCUAUCCCAAUAAUUAAACCCAAACUAACCCCAAUAUUUUUAGAUGUAUAUGCUGUAUUAUUGUACAUAAGUGAUUAUUUAUUCUAAGUUAGCAUAGUAUUUAUAUUUUUGUAUUAUAUAUUAUGCUAUAUGUUCCCAACGAUAUAUGUAUGUUUUUUGUAUGUAAGUAAGUAAUGUAGUUUCCGUAUGGGUCUGAUAAAUUUAGAAUGAUAUACAUAAGAUUAGCAUGCCCAAGAAAUCAUAUCACCCUAUAUUAUUUUGAUCAUGCAUAGUAUUAAGUCUUAUGCCAAUAGGACAUUAUACGUUGGUAAUUUUUUACAUGCUUUUUUCUAAAUGAUCUUUUAUACAAUUUUUCGGUGUAAGAAUUUAUUGUAAAAGAAAACUUUUACUGAUAGUACAGAAAAAUUAAAACAAAUAAGGACAUAAUAAAUUCAAUCUCUUAACUUAAGCACCAAUACUUUAUAAUUAUGAAGUCUUCAUAAAUAUUAAUAAACAAAUAAUUAGAGAUGAAAAUUUUAAAUUUGCGAAUGAAUCGGAAAUAACGCCAUUCAUGUCUUGAUUAAGCUAUAUUUUUCUAUUGGAACACAUUGAUAUUUUAAUUAGUUUAGUGUUAUUUUGAUUAUGGGAAUUCAAAUGUUUUCUUUCCAUAAUUUAGAUAACUAUAUUUGCAGAUUGUUUUGAUAUUAUGAAAUUUUCAUAAAUGUGAUUUUUCGCAUAUAUUUUUGGUAUUGUAUGUUUUUAUGAGCAUGAUUUAAAGGGAUAUAUGAAAGUAACCAAAGAUUUAGAGUAUUUAUGGACAAAUAUUUGAUGCUGUAUACUUUUCAAAUAUUUAAAUAAUUAAAUGUUCAAUUAGAGAUUUCUAGGAAGCCCAACUUGUUUGUUUUGCAUUGAUUUGUAUAUCAUAAUAAUUUUAUAAUAAAUUUCAUAAUGGACAGUUUUUAUAUAUUGAGUUAAUAUGCAUUUUUUACUUUUUAAUACCUACGAAUUAAAAAUUAUAAUUUAUUUUAGUUUAUUCACUCAGCGAAAGGUGUAUAUCACCACCUAGUUAAAGUUAAUCCCAAAAUAUGUUUCUACUAAUAAGUAAGAGAUGUAUCCAAAAUAAAUUUCAAUAUAAAUAAUUCUUUACUAAGAAAUUUAAACCAUGACAAAGGAAAAAACAUGAAUCCUCACAAUAUCACUAUGCUACCAAAUCACUAGUAAAAUUCUUUCUCAUGAUACUUCACAUUUUUUUUUCUUAUGUUGAAAAGAGGAUUCGUUUUAAGAACAAUUUAAAAUUCUUUCUCAUGAUACUCGGAAAAAUCCUAGUGGUAUUUGAAAAAAACUUGUAAAAUAGAUUAGUUUUUAAUGUUGAUAAGAGGACUGAUUAAAAAGGCGAGUGAAAUCAAAGGUAAGAAAAAAAGUUCUUCUAUUUCGAAAUCUACUCCCUUGUAAUAAAUAAUAAAGGAGAAAAAUUGCAUUUGAAAUUUUAAUUUACCGUUUUGGGGAUGGUGUAAGAGAGUGACUAAUUUCAGCGACUACAUUCUAAUAUAUAAAGAAAAGAAUCACAGUGUGUUGCUAAAUUUUAAUUAACAACUAGUUUAAUCAAGGUUAUGUUAAUUGGAGUUACUACUUUGAUGAUGAUGAUGAUGAUGAUGUAAAAAAACUUGUAAUGUUUAUUUAGUACCCUUUCCAUCAUAGUGUAAAAACAAAGCGACUAAUUGAAGAAGGAAGUUAGAGUGUGUGAGAGCUCCUUUCUCUAUGUUACAUUUCUCACAAGCCUUCUUCAUCUAUAUCAGAGACUCUCGCGCCAGAACCUUGAGUCGCGAAGCGCGAUUCAAUUGACUGUUUAGACCUACGAUUCCGGCGAGGCAAAGCGGGAUGACGAAGGUGAGAGAUGGAUUGUUGCUUGGGAAGAAGACGAUCCUCAAGAGCGAUUAUCUCCCAGCUUGUCAGAACAAGUCCGUGAAUCCUU